GAUUGUUUAAUGUUAUUUCCUCUGCCUCUCCAGGUCUCUCUCUCUCUCUCUCAUAUGUGUGUGUGGCAUUCCGGUGGGGUUGCGACCAUUGCUAUGAAAAUAAACCUAGCUUUUCUGUAACAUCUCUCAGAUCCUCUCGGUCUCUGAUAUCUUCAGGCACCGUUGGCUUAUCCAAGAGAACGGAAAAGGAGAAUGAAUGGAGGUGAAGACUGGCUGCCAUUCUGCAUUUAUUCUGAUGGAAAAUUUGCUGAAAAGAUCUCUCCUUGUUACUGGUCUGAUUAUUACUCAGCCAACCCAAGAACGCCUGACAUUACACAUCUUGCCCCUUGGGUCGCCAGAUUAUAUGGUCGACGAUUACCCUAGGGGCCUAGCCUAGCUGCAUGCUGCUGUAGCUCCUUAAACACAUUCAAUUGUCGGGCUUGCAAAGUCUUUUUAACCAUUCUUCUUCUUCUUCUUCUUCUUCUUCUUGUACUUGUACUUGUGUUGUGGUGGUGGUGGUCGUCAUCAUGUCUCUGCGUGUUAUGGUUUUACAAGUGCUAUGCUUUUUCUUC